ACUGCUGCCACGCCGGCUGGCUAGGUCGCUCUUUCCUGGCCCAGUCUAAGAAACAGUGGCACCUUCAUUCUGAGUGGAUCACCAUACCUCAAUCAACAAUCAAAUCAAUCCCCUAGAGAAUGGAUGUGUUGAUCUCCACACAUCUUCCAAAUCCCAUGAAUUCUUCAGGACUCUAAAUCAUCCAUGGCACUGGGAGUGUCUCCAAGGCAGAAAUCAGAUUUUUCAGUCAAG